rnacentral:misc_RNA from 1 species
AAGGUGGAUGAUGAUGUCCAUGUUAAUCUGGGUAUGCUGGCGGCUACUCUGGCACGGCAUCGUUCAAAACCCAGAGUGUACAUUGGAUGCAUGAAGUCGGGAAUUCAGCAUCCCACUUAGCAACUGCAGUGGAGAAGAAAAUUUUUGUUUUUGCAGACAAUUCAUGGUAUCCUUCAACAUGCUCCAGCCUAAGGAAAUCCUUAUGUUGAUGAUCUUCUGAAUCAAUGGCUCUAUCUAAAAUGCUGUUGGAUGUCGCACUAUGGCCAAUCAUGAAGCGAAUAACAAUCCCCUUCUCACGCUCCAAUUGAAGAAGCUUCUCUCCUUGAGGCAUCCAAGUUUCUCUGACAGAAUCACGCCUCUUUCUACUGCUAAAAGCUGUAUUAAUCCCAAUAACCAUGAAAACUUUCUGCCGGGGUGGGCCAUCAUGAGACAAGGCAGCGGAGCCAUCCAAGCUCAUUUCCUGAGAACUCCUAGAUGCUGCUAACUGCAUUUGAACCAUUGCAGACUUGUCUAGCGAUUGAAUUGCUUCAUGGGUUUUCAAGACUUCGCCCAUUACAUUUUUAUCAUGUGAAAGUAUCUUCUGAGCUGUGGAAUCUUCGGAGACAACUUGCAACUCUUGUUCUUGACGACCCUGCGGCGCUAUGAGCUGACCGUUGGACUCAGGUGCAUCCCACGCCCUGUUAGAGAAGAUAAUUCCAAGAGCAAAACAAAAGACACAGAGGAUCGGGAUCCAUUUGACAGAGAUUUUGGC